rnacentral:lncRNA from 1 species
AAACUCAUGUUCAUGAACAACAAUCAACCAACAGCAUCAAAGAUCAAUCAUGGCACGAAACAUCAUCAUCAUGCAGUGUUAACCAACAACAACAAAACAUUAACCAUGGAAAAUCUGGGCAUAUUAGAAUAGCAAAACAGCAGCAGGGUUUCUUAAGGGUUUAUGCAGCUGGGCAUCAUGAACAUCAACAUCAUUCGACCAAACAAAUAGACAACAGCAUGGUAUUGGCAUUUCCAAGUUCAUACACAAUUCGAC